rnacentral:piRNA from 1 species
UGCCCUGACCUGAGUGACUGCCUUCU